GGAUGCGAUCAUAUAGCAGCACUAAAGCACCGGAUCCCAUCAGAACUCCGAAGUUAAGCGUGCUUGGGCGAGAUUGUACUAGGAUGGGUGACCUCCUGGGAAGUCCUCGUGUUGCAUUCC
rnacentral:rRNA from 1 species